rnacentral:lncRNA from 1 species
CCAGGGUGAGCCAGCGUCACUGAUCUCGAGGGUUCCCCCCACAUCACUGCACAGCUGGCACUUACUGCUGCGAAGGCAUUGUUUGGUCUGUGGGGAAAAGUAGCUCUAGAGCUGGAAAAUCAAGUUUUAUCAUAAACGAUGCCUCUGUCAGAGAAGAAAGGCCUCCUCUGUUGUAAAUUGAAGGAUUAAGGCCAAAAUCACCAUAACGGUCAUUGUUUAGGAU